UACGGGGGGGGGGCAAGCGUUGUUCGGAAUUACUGGGCGUAAAGGGCUCGUAGGUGGCCAACUAAGUCAGACGUGAAAUCCCCUCGGCUUAACCGGGGAACUGCGUCUGAUACUGGAUGGCUAGAGAUUGGGAGAGGGAUGCGGAAUUCCAGGUGUAGCGGUGAAAUGCGUAGAUAUCUGGAGGAACACCGGUGGCGAAGGCGGCAUCCUGGACCAACACUGACGCUGAGGAGCGAAAGCCAGGGGAGCAAACGGG
rnacentral:rRNA from 1 species